rnacentral:sRNA from 1 species
ACCGUCGGCUGUCAGC